UAAAAAUCAGUCUUAACAAAAAAAGAGAAUCACAAAAAAAAAAUCACUCGAACCCUCGGAACUCCCUUCUCCCUUCUCCCUUCUCCCUUCUCCCUUCUCCCUUCUCCCAUCGAAACAAUCCUCUCUGAAUCACCACCACGACCAUCACCACCGUCCUCUCUCAUCCGCCAGCCAUCUCCACCUUCUCUCUGUCUACCUCGUCUCUUCCUUGUCACCACGGUUCCUCUCCACCGUCUCCUCAUGUCGUAAUCUCUCUUUCUCUCUUUUUUUCCUCUGGUCAAGUCUAACUUCUUUGAUUUCUCCAUACUGAUCUAUUUUGUGAGUCAAUUUUGGCAUAUUAUGAUGAAAGCUUGUUAGUGGUGGGGUGUUGAUGUUGCCGUAAUCUCCUCCUCGUCACAACCGCUCAUCUCCUCCUCUUCUCCUUCUAUGUUCGUGACAGGCCCACUGUAAUCAAUAAACACGUUUCUUCAAGAAUCUGAUGACCAGAUUCAAGGUUAUUCUAAAGGCUAGGAGACUUUGUUUGGUUGAUAACACGAGUUUCUUCGGAGAUGCAGCAAGUUGGUUUCAGGAGACUGCUAAAGGUAGGAAGGAAACGAAGGCUAGAUAGAUAUAGUAAAGAAAACCAACAGGCAUCCAUUCUUGGAGCCAAGACCAAUGGCUAAAAAGUCACUGAAUCGUCUUCUGUAGAACUUUUGGAAAAGUUUGGUAGGAGUACAGAAUUGUUGAAGCUAGAAGAUUUGAUUGAACAACUUAAUGCUAGAACUGUAGCCGUUUCACCAUUCUCGUAUGAUGUUAAGAGGGAAGACGUGGAAGCCUUCUUCAGUCAGUAUGGAAAGUGUGAGGGUGUUUUGUGGUGUUGCCUUGGUUGAGUUCCCUACUGGAGAGAAUGCCCAAAAUUUUAUGAAGCAAAGUUUGGUCUUUGCUGGUCUCGAGUUUUUAAGUUGAUCAGUCUUCUGAAAAAGCAUGGUGUCUCUGAAAGCAAGGUUUAUGCGUAUAUAGGUGGGAAGAGCGUUGGAUGAUGGUUCUAGUAAUCACUCUUUUCCCUUCUAAAGUAAUGCGCCCAGGCCGCUUGUACCUCCUGGUUUUGCUAGCACAAUUUCGGAAAGAGCAAGGGGCAAAACCUCAAUGAGGAGACAGAACCUAACUUCGACUUCCAUUGAGUUCUACCUUGUCCAAUGGAGUACAUGGCUGUGGGCGUCAAGGAGAGGUAGCAGAAGCGGUGUGUGCCUCGAAGACAGCCACCUCGGAGUUCUGUGAGGAAGAAGAAGAUCAGUGAAAUCCAGAGAGGAGGAGGCUUGAAGAUUGAAGAUUGAUCCUUAGGUUUAGUUUUUUUUCUAGGUUUACUUUAUUUUCUAAUUCUGAUUUGUUUUUGUAAACCAGAAUUUACUUGUAAACAAGAAAUAGAUUAAUAAAUAAAAUUUAAUUUUUAAUUAUAAA